rnacentral:piRNA from 1 species
UGAAGAUCCGGUUCCUCUGGCUUACAUU